GGCUUAGCUCAGUUGGUAGAGCACCUGACUUGUAAUCAGGGGGUCGCGAGUUCGAAUCCUGCAGCCGG
rnacentral:tRNA from 1 species